CAGAGGACUCUGGUGCCUCAGACCGAGGUUCCCCACUGCCGCUUUCCAUCAGGUUGUUCAUGGGGCUGUCCUGAAUUUGGGCUGACUCAGGCUCGGUACUCAGGGAAAUCUCCUCAUCAUCUGCUGAAUGAAGAGGAGCUUCUCUAUCAGGGGGACAGCAACCUGGCUUCCAGAAUAGAUCACUGGCUUCUGGACCUCAAAUGGAGAAGAUAACCACAAAACCUAGGAUACAUCUGGAGAGAACCAUUGACACUAGCCUAGGACAAGACAUGAAGUUCAUGCUGAAAAUACCUGGGUGGAUGGAGGAAGUGAUCUCAAAUCGGAAUUGCAGCUGUCCACUCACAUGAUCUGUUGGAAGCCUGCGGCCAAGUGUGUAGCUGACCACCCUAUCCCUAGAAGGAAAUAAGCACCAUCACA
rnacentral:lncRNA from 1 species